AGCGAACGCUGGCGGCAGGCCUAAUACAUGCAAGUCGAGCGGUCCCUUCGGGGGCAGCGGCGGACGGGUGAGUAACGCGUGGGAAUGUGCCCUUUGGUACGGAACAACUGAGGGAAACUUCAGCUAAUACCGUAUGUGCCCUUCGGGGAAAGGAUUAUUGCCAUUGGAGCAGCCCGCGUUGGAUUAGGUAGUUGGUGGGGUAAAGG
rnacentral:rRNA from 1 species